UCUUGCGCAAUGGGCGAAAGCCUGACGCAGCAACGCCGCGUGCGGGAUGAAGGCCUUCGGGUUGUAAACCGCUUUCAGUGGGGACGAACCAAGACGGUACCCACAGAAGAAGCCCCGGCCAACUACGUGCCAGCAGCCGCGGUAACACGUAGGGGGCAAGCGUUGUCCGGAUUCAUUGGGCGUAAAGAGCUCGUAGGCGGUUCGGUAAGUCGGGUGUGAAAACUUCAGGCUCAACCUGGAGACGCCACCCGAUACUGCCGUGACUAGAGUCCAGUAGGGGAGCGUGGAAUUCCUGGUGUAGCGGUGAAAUGCGCAGAUAUCAGGAGGAACACCAGCGGCGAAGGCGGCGCUCUGGGCUGGCACUGACGCUGAGGAGCGAAAGCGUGGGGAGCGAACAG
rnacentral:rRNA from 1 species